rnacentral:rRNA from 1 species
ACUCCUACGGGAGGCAGCAGUAGGGAAUCUUCCACAAUGGGCGCAAGCCUGAUGGAGCAACACCACGUGAGUGAAGAAGGGUUUCGGCUCGUAAAGCUCUGUUGUUAAAGAAGAACACGUAUGAGAGUAACUGUUCAUACGUUGACGGUAUUUAACCAGAAAGUCACGGCUAACUACGUGCCAGCAGCCGCGGUAAUACGUAGGUGGCAAGCGUUAUCCGGAUUUAUUGGGGCGUAAAGAGAGUGCAGGCGGUUUUCUAAGUCUGAUGUGAAAGCCUUCGGCUUAACCGGAGAAGUGCAUCGGAAACUGGAUAACUUGAGUGCAGAAGAGGGUAGUGGAACUCCAUGUGUAGCGGUGGAAUGCGUAGAUAUAUGGAAGAACACCAGUGGCGAAGGCGGCUACCUGGUCUGCAACUGACGCUGAGACUCGAAAGCAUGGGUAGCGAACAGGAUUAGAUACCCUGGUAGGAUAGCG